AAGAAAUGGCUGGGUGAGACAAAAGCUAAAUUUGAUUUAAUUUACAUUUAAAGUUAAUUGAAAUUAAAUAGAGUAGAUAUAAUCUUUCUUCAUGAGUUUAAUCAUUUCAAUUACCUUAUAUGACUUGAAAAGUUACAACUUAACAGCACUUUUUCAAGGGCUGUGGGGGCCACAAGCAAGACUUUGGGCAGACACUUUCAACUAGAGAGCCAUGAUCUACAGUCCUUGGCCACAGAUGAUAUUCAGAUUCAGCUUUUGAUGUUUCCUAAGACUGCAGAGAGCCUGGGAAUGAUUCAAAAAGGACUCCUGCACCUGGUCAUAACUUAAAGAAAGAAACCAAUCAUCCAUAUGCUUAAUGUGUUGAAAGUCUCAUACUUGCCCAUUCAUCUUUUGUCAUUGCAGUGGACAAGUGCAAAGACAGAGAAGAUAAAGUUGGAUUCGAUUUGUACAACUGAAUUAAAGCACAGACAACUGCUUUGAGAUUUUCUACCCAGACAGCCUUGAAAACUGCCUGCAGCCUUUGCCAAUUACUACUGACAAAUACCACUUGGUCCUGAGUGAUGUUUUAAGUGAAAUAAAACAGUGAGGAAAACUGAACAUGAUGAAAGGGGUUCUUCUCUUCUCUUCCCUUUUUUCUUCCUAAGAGGCGACUACAAGUUAUAUAUUCACAAGAACAUGGAGUAGUAUAAGUUGAGUCUUCAGGCUUCUGCCAUUCAAGCACUAAACAUAGCUGCUUACUUCAGGAAGGUCAUGCUAUCAUGUACCCUUAAAUGAAAUCUGGGAGUUUUAAUAAAAUGGUGUAAAUUUAAUAAAAUAGUAUAAAAGCAUGUUGUUGGUUACAACUAAUGUAAAACCUGGGAUACCUACAAGUGUAAGUUUCAAAUAAGUAAAAGGGUGAAAGGGCUGUAUUUGUUUUACUGUAUUGAUUUAUUGGGCUUGAUUAUGUAUAAUUCAACAAAUGUCUAGCAUUUGUGUGGCAAUUAAACUGGCCCUUUCAAGAAGUCAAAGGGAGUUCUUCACAGCACUUUUCCCACCAACUUCUCAAAAUGGCCAG